UACAAAUUGACAGACAUGGAGUAAGACCUCUCAACUUGUCCACAGCUAAAUCCAAUGAGGUUUCUGGAAAAGACAAACAUGACAAACAGUUUAAAAAGUCUUUGUCAUGUAAAAAAGAACAGAAACUCAACAAACAGGUUACUGAAAAUGCAGAGAAACAAGUCGUAAUGCAAAGGCAAAAACACAAGAAAGUUAGUGAAGGCAUUCGGUCACAAUAUGUACAUGACGAGAGGGAGAAAAAUGUUCCUGAAAAGGUUACAUUUCAAGAGAAACGUAAGAAGAUGGCCUAUGAUAAUCUGCAGGAUAUAAGGAGACAAGAAGAUGUCAAAGAUGCUUUUGAGGAGAAAAAUUUUUAUAAAGAAAUAACUAAGCCGGAGUUUGCCCAAAAGUUACUUGACAAACAGGAGA